GAAGCUAAGCAGGGCUGGGCUAUAAAACCAGGGCUGAGUUCAAAAAGCAAAAUAGAUUGAAAUAUUCAGCUAGUCAGUAGUUUUACAUCAACUGAUGUGUGAUGAGCGUUCUGGCCCAAAAUGGCUGCCGUGCAUCACCCAGAUGGAUGCUACACAUUGGUGGUGAAGGAGCAUUUCAUUUCGAUGCCUGUUGUUGGCUUUUAAGGCUUGUGGGGAGAGCAGGGAGGCUUCACACAAAGCAGACAGGCCCCACUUCGAGGCGGAGCUGCUGGCCCUGCCUGAGGUUAAACGGCUCCUGUAAGUCCACGAUGGGGAGCUGGUGACUGUCCUGAGUUUGAAAGAAGAAGCGUGACUGAUGCCAGCUGCCAUCUUGAAUCUGAUAGGGAGAAAGCACAAGGUGGAAUGAAUCAUGAAUGGCAGACAAAAGGGACUCUACAGUUUCAGUGGUGUUCAAUAAAAUUCUGAAGCUCA